GAUGAACGCUGACAGAAUGCUUAACACAUGCAAGUCCACUUGAACUUCGGUUUGGGUGGCGGACGGGUGAGUAACGCGUAAAGAACUUGCCUCACAGAUAGGGACAACAUUUGGAAACGAAUGCUAAUACCUGAUAUUAUGAUUAUAUGGCAUCGUAUAAUUAUGAAAGCUAUAUGCGCUGUGAGAGAGCUUUGCGUCCCAUUAGCUAGUUGGAGAGGUAACGGCUCACCAAGGCGAUGAUGGGUAGCCGGCCUGAGAGGGUGAUCGGCCACAAGGGGACUGAGACACGGCCCUUACUCCUACGGGAGGCAGCAGUGGGGAAUAUUGGACAAUGGACCAAGAGUCUGAUCCAGCAAUUCUGUGUGCACGAUGAAGUUUUUCGGAAUGUAAAGUGCCUUCAGUUGGGAAGAAAAAAAUGACGGUACCAACAGAAGAAGUGACGGCUAAAUACGUG
rnacentral:rRNA from 1 species